rnacentral:rRNA from 1 species
AUUGAACGCUGGCGGCAGGCCUAACACAUGCAACUCUAGCGGAGCGGCGGGCGGGUGAGUAAUGCCUAGGAAUCUGCCUGGUAGUGGGGGAUAACGUCCGGAAACGGGCGCUAAUAGCGCAUACUAUCAGAUAAACAUAGGUCGGAUGAGCUAGUGUGUGGGGUAAAGGCCUACCAAGGCGACGAUCCGUAACUGGUCUGAGAGGAUGAUCAGUCACACUGGAACUGAGACACGGUCCAGACUCCUACGGGAGGCAGCAGUGGGGAAUAUUGGAAAAUGGGCGAAAGCCUGAUCCAGCCAUGCCGCGUGUGUGAAGAAGGUCUUCGGAUUGUAAAGCACUUUAAGUUGGGAGGCGUUACCAACAGAAUAAGCACCGGCUAACUUCGUGCCAGCAGCCGCGGUAAUAC